rnacentral:misc_RNA from 1 species
AUUUCCCCAAUGGGUUCUCCGGAUUUCUGGAGACUUGUAGGGGUUGUGGGAUUUUUGAUGUGUCGUCUCCGGACGGGCGGUGCAGGGUAGUCGAGUUAGACUUGGUGGAAUUCCGUCGAUAGGAGUUCCGUCGAGUCUGGUCAGCUGUGUGUUGGACGGUGUAGGGUAGGCUGCUUGGACAUGGUCGGUUCGAGGAUCGAUUCGAGGCCCGGCCUGUCGAUGAUGUGUGAUGUAUGCGGUCUAGGGUAGGUUGGUUUGUCUUGGUUCGAUUUGAUGUCGGCUCCCGUGCAGGCCAGAGUGAGGGGGGUCCAGGGUAGGUGCAGGGUAGGCAGCUUAGAUUUGGUCGAUCUGGAGGUCGAUUCUCCGGCUGGCGGAUCUGACACUGUCGAAACGAGAUGCGAGGGGUGUAGGGUAGGCUAGUUUCGUACUUGCCAGGUUGCGAUUUGGACGAGAUAUGUGGUUUAGGGUAGGCUCUAGGGUAAGUAGAAUUCGAGUUUCGUCGCCGAUAGUUUUCUGUGGGUGUAUGGUAGGUACAGGGUAGGCAAAUCUCUCUCCGGCCAGUACUUGUCUCGUGGUCGUGAGUCGAUUUUUUUGUUUU